CCUACGGGAGGCUGCAGUGAGGAAUAUUGGUCAAUGGGCGGAAGCCUGAACCAGCCAAGUAGCUUGCGGGAUGAAGGCCCUACGGGUCGUCAACCGCUUUUGCACGGGGAUAACACCCUCCACUUGUGGAGUUCUGCAGGUACCGUGCGAAUAAGGGCCGGCUAAUUCCGUGCCAGCAGCCGAGGUAAUACGGAAGGCCCGAGCGUUAUCCGGAUUCAUUGGGCUUAAAGGGAGUGUAGGCGGGCGUGCAAGUCAGCUGUAAAAUCUCGCGGCUCAACCGCGCCCCGCAGUUGAAACUGGACGCCUUGAGUUCACAACAGGCAGGCGGAAUUCGGGGUGUAGCGGUGAAAUGCAUA
rnacentral:rRNA from 1 species